UCGGAGCGUAGCGCAGCCUGGUAGCGCAUCUGAUUUGGGAUCAGAGGGUCGUAGGUUCGAAUCCUAUCGCUCCGACCAC
rnacentral:tRNA from 1 species